UACGGAGGGGGCUAGCGUUGUUCGGAAUUACUGGGCGUAAAGCGCACGUAGGCGGCUUGGUAUGUCGGGUGUGAAAUCCCCGGGCUCAACCUGGGAACUGCAUCCGAAACUGCCUUGCUAGAGUAUGGGAGAGGGAAGUGGAAUUUCCGGUGUAGCGGUGAAAUGCGUAGAUAUCAGGAGGAACACCGGUGGCGAAGGCGGGUCUCUGGGCCGAUACUGACGCUGAGGAGCGAAAGCGUGGGGAGCGAACAGG
rnacentral:rRNA from 1 species